GUUGAGCCUUAUGGCUCCGAUACUGGGAGACGUGGUCGUAAGACUCCUCGAGAGUCAGACUCUCUUGAGGAGCGAGAAAGGAAACGGCUGCGGGACUUAUUUGCAGAACCAACUGACGAAGACUCCUUUGAGGGUUUUACAGAGGGAAUGGAGGAAGAGAUGGUUAGCUCAGAGGAGGAUGACAUGGAAUGGACUCGUGUGAGGGAGGAUUUCGGUGUCACCGGCAAUGCUAGUAUGGGAAGCGACUGGCGGGUUGCAGGAUCGGACCCGUGGACGAGUUGGAGGGAUGGAAUGAGAUCCACAGCUGGGGAUGCUGUGGGGCGUAGUCAAAGGUGUGUUAGCUCUGAUGAGGAUGAUGAUGAUGAGGCACCUGGAAUUAGGGUAACAGCUGACAGCGAUGAGGAGUUGUAACUGGCAUAAAAUGGGGUUUAGAAUCCAGGGCUAAUUGCGUUGGGCAAGGUAAUCUGGACGAACGCUUGGGCUCUUGUUGGGAAUUUCCUGAAGACGGGUGUGUUUCGUUUGCUGAAUACCUUGGACCUCCGUCGUCUUCUUGACGGACAUUAAUUGCCUAUUCUGGAUUGACGCUGGACUGACUGACUGACUGACUACGACCUCGGACUACCCCUUCUGUGGCUUUCGGUGGAAUUGGUGAACUAAAGACAUCUGCACCUGGCUUUCGACCUCGGACUGGACUGGGACCCUGCUGACUGUUGCUACCCUGAUUGAAGUGCCUGGAUCAGGAUUCCGUUUGCUGCACGGAGGAGUAACAAUCUUAGUUACUCAUUCGCAGCUUUCGAGUAGCAGAGAGGAAUCUGCUGCCAGCUAUUUAUGUUUCUUUGAAUCCUUGUUUUUCAACUUUUGUUUGUUUAAAUUGCCGGGCUGAAGUAAGCAUUUUCUGUUUAACCCGGAUUAAACUCCUGUUUAAUCCGGUUUAUCUUUUGAACCACUUUUAGUAUCAGCGGAGUCUUUUUUGUGUAUCUUUUUCACUAAAGGCAAGUGUUUGCCUAGCCCUUGUUUCAUACGGGCACUUUUUAGUUCUGUAACUUUAAUAAACUGUGUUGAACUUU